GGUGUGACAGGUGACUGGAAGCAGGACCUAGUGGGAGUUGAAGAGGACAGACUUGCUGGUGGGGUGGCUGUAAAUGCAUGAGGGAGGGAAGCCAGGGCGCCUCCAUGGCUGUUGCUGGAGAGGUGUUGACUAGAUGAGGACGCAGACAUGGUUGGAACUCAUGCAUCAAGCACUCAGCCUUUGCCAGACACAGACUGGGCACCGCACACGGUCCCCUGGAGUCCUCAUGACAGCCCCGCUUUCAGCAGAGGCCCCGCGGAAGGCCAUGGCCUGCCCGGCGCCUCUGGCUCAGGGUUCAGAACAGCAGGAUUCAAAUCCGGGUCGUCUCAGCUCUGAGUUGUUCCCGUGGGACACCUCAUUGGCCAUUCUCUCAUCCCAGGAACCACCUGCCAGGUGACAGGCUCUUCUGCCCCAGAGCGAGUUCAUUUGGGACCGACAUGGAGCACUGGCCAUGCUUGGCAGGUGCCCAGCCGCUGGCCUCUUGGACCAGGGUGGCGCUCACUGAGCCGUGGCCCGUGACAGUGGGUCACGUGGCACAGCAAGGCAGCUCUUCUAUCCAGUACCAACUCUAGGCCGACAUCUAACAGCUCCGAGGGCAUAUCUUACAAUAGUUCUGUGGAGGAGAUGGGUACCUCCCCCGUUUUCCAGAUGUGAAAACCGAGGCUCAGAGAGGUGCAGUCACUUGCUCAGUCACACAGCAGCUAAGUUGUAGAGGUGGGGUUUGAACUCAGGUCUGUUGGAAUCCAAAGCCUUUGUUGUUUACCUCUGGGAUCCACCGCCUCACCCUGAAACAGUGGAGAGCAGAGCCUCCCACGGAGGCAGGUGUACUUUUAAUUUCAGACCUUGUCACGGCCCAGGAUUGAGUGGGCUGGAAUCCCGUAUGCCCUGACAAGGCACUGACCCACCCAGAGAAAGAGGCAUCUUAUUCUUUACACAAAGGCUCCCCGAGCUCAAUAGGCCAUGCCCUGUGCUGGCUGAGAGGGGUUUCACUUUCUAAUCCCACAGCCUGGCUGGCACCUAAAAUGGCAGGCACGGAGAAGUGGCGAGAAUGAAGCAAAGCCUGGAGGGCAGCCGUGGGAGGCGUCUCAGCUCCGCGGUCGUGCCCUGGAGCCGAGGAGCUGCCCGUCUGGAGUUCACAUCCCUGCUCUGCCUCUUCUGCCCCUGUGACCCCAGGGAGGUCCUGAAUUCUACAGGCUGCAGUUCCUUUUUGUUGUUAACAUGGGAGCGCUCGAGUUCCCGUUGUAGCUCAGCGGUUAGCCAACACGACUAGUGUCCAUGAGGUUGCGGGUUCGAUCCCUGGCCUCGCUCAGUGGGUUAAGGAUCCAGCAUUGCUGUGAGCUGUGAUGUAGGUCACAGAUGCGCCCUGGAUUCUGCGUGGCUGUGGCUGUGGCUGUGGUGUAGGCCAGCAGCUGCAGAUCCAGUUUGACCCCUAGCCUGGAAACUUCCAUAUCCCUCCCCCCAAAAAAGGAAAGAAAAUGGGAUCAGAGUAUAAGGUGUGUUAGAAACGCAGCCUCUCAGACCCUACUCAAACGGAAUGUAGGGGGAAGGGGGUCCCCAAACACACAGGUGAUCCAUAUCACAUUAGAAGCGAGAAGCUCCAGGGUGAACUAAACGAGAUAGUUCUGUAGCUCUGAGAGGCACCGCACUGCUCCUGGUAGGUUCGUUCGUUCUCAUUAGCUGUGCAGUGUCCGGCCGCCUCUCUUGUACUCUGAGCCCUUGUUAUUACAGGGCUCGUGUUGCAGAGAUGCGGUGCCCUGGAAAACAGAUCAGUACCUAGAAGAGCUUCUGCGCUUGGCCCUGCUCCUGCUGCUAUCUGGCCAUUUACCCGCCUGGAAGAGCCAGGCUUCCAUUGCAAACCGCAGGCUGGAGGCCGACCAGCCCUGCCACGGCUCAGCUGUCUGCAGCUGGUGGUGCCUGGGCCCGGCCGACGGAGCUGCAGAGCCUGAGCCCAGGGCCCGGGGGCCAGCCACUCGGCCUCCCUUCUCUCUCCUGGCUUGCAGUUUUAAGACAGAUCGAUAGAUGUAGUCUGCCGGAGCCUGGGGUGAGUGGGAGAGAAGCAGGCGGCUAUUACAUCACGGGGGAGCCUGAGUCUUAACAGGGCAGAUCCGUCUCUCAGGGAAGAAGAGAAUGCAGCCCCCCCGCCGCCGGGGAGUCGGCAGCCCAGAAGGGGCUGCAAAUAAAGACCUGGCACUGCGGCCAUCGGCAUCGACCUCACAGCCCCACUUCACUCUCUCUUGGGGGAGCUUCCCUAAGAUGUAUUCAUGAAGGCCUCCAGAGACUCACUUUCUAAGUGUAUAUAUGCGUAGACACAUUUAAAAAUAGCUAUGUCUCCGUGCAUAUGUAUUAUAUAUUUAGUGCUCUCAAAGCAGAAAUAAAACCAUAAAGCUCUAAGAGAGGAAUCUCAUCUCCACGUAAUGUGGUUCUGAGCCCCUUCCUGGAAUCUCUGAGCUGGGGUGGGGGGUGGGGGGACAAAGCCGGCCUGCGCCACAGUCUGAGCCAGCGAUUCGUGAGCUGGAGUGCCCGCGGGCAGCGCAGAGAGCCUGAUACAGGAGCACCGUUCAUGGGCGAAGGUGGCUGUGGGCUGGGCUGCCCUGCAUUUCACACAGGCAAGCCCAGGUGGCUCCGCAGGUCACACUUUUAGCAGUUGGGUUCGGGGAGGGGGGAGAAUCAGCACCCGACAGGUGCUCAGUAAAUGUUUGACGAGUGGAGGCCUAUGUAUGAGGCUGAAUAAAAUGUGCGUGAGGUAGCGGGUCAGUGGACGGAGAAUGAGUUUGCAAACGAUGACCUGCAGGUAGAGCAGUGAGUGCAGGGAAGCAGAGGGGGGUCCAGGACGGUGGGGGAGGGGUGGGCCCCUCCGCAGUGGGCCAGAUGAAGGCUUGCUGCUCUGAUGUGUCUCGUGAGGGCUGGCCGCUCCACGAGGGAACUCACGGAGCUGGUGACGGGCUCAGUUCUGGGAGUGAGGCAGACCUGGCAGGGUUACCAUGGGACCUAUGGGAAGUCCCUCCUUGGACCAAGGUCGGGGCAGGAUCGUGAACUUUAGUCGUCGCCCCAGCCGGGUGUGGAGGGGGGGUGCUUUUGGCUAUGUGGCAGACCUUCCAAAGGUUGCCCUUGGGGUGCCAGUGGGCUUGCUCAGAGGAGAGGAGCCUUUCUCCCUGCUGUUUACCGUAUGAGCCCCAUGCGUUCUCCAGGCCCCGCUGCCUCUAGAUGGCCUUCCCAGCUCCAGGCACCCAUCACAGCAGCUCAGCUCCCGAGGCCGUGGGAGAGCUGCCAGGGCCGGCCCGCAGGCCCCUGGCACCUUCAUGGCCACUUCUGGCUGCAUUUUGCUUCCUCCUUCUACCUCCUCAGGCCAAGCCCAGCCUCCAGCAUGCCCAGCUCACACUCUGCAGCUUCCUCAUUGGCACGGAGCCCUCUUCUCUCUCACCCUCAGGUUCCCAGGUCCAAGGGAAGGACCCUCAUGUGGCCGGGCUCAGGGUGGAUACUGACCUCUGGACCGUCACCCAGGCGGCUACCAGGUGGGGCCAGAGUGUAUGAGGGCAGCUUGCUGUGGUAACCAUGGUGGCCCUCCAGCGCGUGGAGGCGGGGGAGUUCAGAGUGUUCCAAAGGGGGGGCCCUGUGCCGCCUGCGCCCCCUGCCGCUUCUGCCCUUCAUUCAUCUCAUCGCGGGAAGGGAGCGUGAACGCCCAGCUGUCUGUAGUGUUUCUCCGCCUUGGAGAACACGAGCUACAUCCGGACACGUGGCCCUAUUGGUCUUUUCUCAGCCCUGCGGGGCUGGGGCUGGCGCAGGGUGAGUGGGCACGGAUGUCACCUGGCUGGACGCGCCCCCUCCUCCAGGUUUCAGGACUAGGACCAGAACGUGUCCUCACAGCCAGAGGGAAACUUCAGGCGAGAAACUCGAGAGCCUGGAAAAAUAGUUGGUCCUUUGAAGCUGAAGUCGGGCAUCAGGGGACAUGGGGACCGUCGACUGUCAUUUGUUUGGACAAGCGAGGCUUCUGCCACUCUGUCUCGGACACUCCGGGGAGACAAAGGCGCUUCAGAUCGGAGGCUGCCCUCUCCCCAGGGCGGAGGGCAGGCCGGGCGGCUGCACGCCUUUGCUUCCAGAUGAAAUUAUGUGCUUGGGGUUUGGUGGACUUAGGCCUCAUUCAUGCGUCUCUGUUUGCUCAGCCCUCCUGGCCCCAUCUCUGGUCUCUCAGCCUCCUGGGGACAGAGAGGGGCCUUGCUGCUCUUCCAGGGAGUGAGGUCAUUAUUCUCCCCUGCCCUCUCGCACUGUCUCUCUGAAAUCUCCUUCUUCAGCAGGUACCGCUCAGGGCCCUCCCACGCAAGACCGAGAGGGGAGCCGUGCAUGGCUGAGCUCGAGUCCCAGCUCUGCUGUGCUCUAGCUGUGUGACCCUGGGCACAUUCCUUGACCUGCCUGUUUCGCCUUCUAUACCAUGAGGCCCGUAUUGCCUGCCUACCAGGUCUCGGCAAGGGUCUAUUACAUUCAUUCCUCCUUUUCUCCUAAGACCAAGUGAUCCUACUCCCAAUUCCCAAGAGACGUGAACAAGAAUGUUCAGAGCAGACUGAAUAAUAACCUAAAAGUGGAAACAGCCCGAGUAUCCAUGGACAGCAGAAUGGAUAGACAGAUUAUGGCAUAACCACGCAGUGGAGUACUGUACAGCAGUGAACAGUAACGCACACUGCAAAUGAACCUCGCAAGCAUCAUGGUGAGCCAAGCAAGCCAGACACAGAUGAGGACCUACUGCAUGAGUCCAUUUCUGCCAAGUUCAAGUGCAGCCAGAACUAGCCUGUAGUGAUAGAGGUCACAGAGUGGUUAUUUCUGGGGGAUGUCGACCAGGAAGAGGCACGAGGGAGCCUGCUGGAUCCAGGGGGUGGUCACGAGAAGCCCCCCUCCCCGCUGUGUGCAUGUGUGAACAUUCUUCAGGCUUGCACCUGCAACAGAAGGGAACUGUGUCCCCUCCUCUCAGGUGAGGGGCUGCUCCUCGAAAACCCCGCAGCCCCUGGGCCACCAGGACGCCACGCCUGGGCAGUGAGUCACUCUUCUCCAUGCCAGGCAGGAGCUCCAGGGACAGGGGAAUGACCCCACAGCGCGAAGGCCGGCCCGGCAGGAGGCCCAGGCACAGCCCUUGGCUGCCAGGGAGGGAGGAGGAGAGUGGAAACUUGUGCAGUCGUUUCUCACUUUUCAAGCCAGUUAACGGGGACCAACCUCACAGAUGAGCAACAGCCCGAACCUUGGCUCUUUCUGUUCGAGAAACCACAGAGGAAGGGAGAGUUGGAUUUGGCUGUAGAGAAAGUGACCCUUGAGUGUGGAGAAACCGACCACACAUAAGCCCCAUCAUAAACCAAUUUGGAAGGCAAACGAUGAAACGGGAAAAUGCAGUGGCAGCGUAUUGGACAAGUGAAGGGAAAAAUCCUUAAUGUGCAAAGAGUGUGCGUGAAUCGGUGAGAAGCCGUGACCACCUCAGGGGAAAAUGUGCAAAGAGCAAAAGGAGAAAUGCAGUGACCAGUAACUGGGUGAGAAGAACCAGCCUCCCGUUAACCGGAGAUGCACAUUAAAAAGGAAAUACGGGGAAGUUCCUCUUGUGGCUUAGUGGUAACGAACCCGACUAGUAUCCAUGAGGUUGUGGGUUUGAUCCCGGGCCUUGCUCAGUGAGCUGAGGAUCCACUGUUGCUUGUGGCUGUAGUGCAGGUCGCAGAGGUGGCUUGGAUCCUGCGUUGCUGUGGCUGGGGUGUAGGCUGGCAGCUGCAGCUCCUCUUCAACCCCUAGCCUGGGAGCUUCUGUGUGCCACACGUGUGGCCUUAGAAAGUAGAAAAGAAAAUUAAAAGUUAAAAAAAAUUAAAAGGGGAGUUCCCGUCGUGGCGCAGUGGUUAACGAAUCCGACUAGGAACCAUGAGGUUGCGGGUUCGGUCCCUGCCCUUGCUGCUGUGGCUGUGGCGUAGGCCGGUGGCUACAGCUCCGAUUCAACCCCUGGCCUGGGAACCUCCAUAUGCCGCGGGAGCGGCCCAAGAAAUAGCA
rnacentral:lncRNA from 1 species